rnacentral:rRNA from 1 species
GCGCUCACCAGCCAAAGGUGAGUGCGGCACACAGCUCAGUAACACGUGGCUAACCUGCCCUUGGGAUAGGGACAACCCCGGGAAACUGGGGCUAAUCCCCAAUAGGCGAAGUGCUCUGGAAUGAGCCUUCACCCGAAAGGACACCUACACUACGCUUGUAGGUGUUGCCCAAGGAUGGGGCCGCGACCGAUCAGGUCGUUGGUGAGGUAACGGCCCACCAAGCCUUUAACCGGUGCGGGCCGUGGGAGCGGGAGCCCGGAGAUGGGCACUGAGACAAGGGCCCAGGCCCUACGGGGCGCAGCAGUCGCGCAAACUUUGCAAUACACGAAAGUGUGACAGGGCUAUCCCGAGUGCCGUCCGCUGAGGAUGGCUUUUACCCAGUCUAGAACGCUGGGGGAAUAAGGAGAGGGCAAGUCUGGUGUCAGCCGCCGCGGUAAUACCAGCUCUCCGAGUGGUGUGGAUGUUUAUUGGGCCUAAAGCAUCCGUAGCUGGCCAAGUUAGUCCCCUGUUAAACCCACCGAAUUAAUCGUUGGAUCGCGGGGGAUACUGCUCGGCUAGGGGACGAGAGAGGCAGACGGUAUUUUCGGGGUAGGGGUGAAAUCCUAUAAUCCCGAGAAGACCACCAGUGGCGAAGGCUGUCUGCUAGAACGCGCCCGACGGUGAGGGAUGAAAGCUGGGGGAGCGAACCGGAUUAGAUACCCGGGUAGUCCCAGCUGUAAACGAUGCAGGCUAGGUGUUUGAACGGCCACGUGCCGUUCUAGUGCCGCAGGGAAGCUGUUAAGCCUGCCGCCUGGGGGAGUACGGGUCGCAAGAUUGAAACUUAAAAGGAAUUGGCGGGGGGAGCACCACAAAGGGGUGAAGCUUUGCGGUUUAAUUUGGAUUCAACGCCCGGAAUCUUUUCUAAGAAGAUCUCCUACAAU